rnacentral:rRNA from 1 species
CCCUACGGGGCGCAGCAGGGAAUCUUCCACAAUGGGCGAAAGCCUGAUGGAGCAACGCCGCGUGGGUGAAGAAGGUCUUCGGUUCGUAAAACCCUGUUGUUAGAGAAGAAAGUGCGUGAGAGUAACUGUUCACGUUUCGACGGUAUCUAACCAGAAAGCCACGGCUAACUACGUGCCAGCAGCCGCGGUAAUACGUAGGUGGCAAGCGUUAUCCGGAUUUAUUGGGCGUAAAGGGAACGCAGGCGGUCUUUUAAGUCUGAUGUGAUAGCCUUCGGCUUAACCGGAGUAGUGCAUUGGAACCUGGG